GCUGCUUUCCUGCAGUUGUCCAUCUGUGUUUAUCUAUGGUUCAAGAUGUCUCUUGAGGACCACGAUGCAAUGUUCACCUUGAAAGCGACCACUAAAAUCAUCACCAUCAGCAUAGAGGAUAUCAAGAGUCACUUCCAUUGUUUAUAAAAUCCCAUGUGAUCUCACCCAGGCCCACCUCUGCAAGGCAAUCACAUGAUACUUUUUGCUCACGUUGAGAAUAGAAUAGAUACACAAAUAUAACCUCCACCCUAUGGCUCCGAUAUCGAAUGGGAGAGACUAUGAAGUGAGUAGGUAAUUACAAUACAACAUGAUGAGGCCUAUGUUUUGGAAGACAACUCAGGGACUCCCAACCCAAUCUGCGUCAGCAAAGACUUUCUGGAGAGAGUGACAUUUAAGCUAAGAUCUUAAGAAUAGUUGGAGAUAUCUAGGCAGGAGAGAAAAAGAAAGAUUGCUCGGGGAAGAAGAAAUAGCACAUGCAAAGUCCCAGAGGUGAGAAAGAAUCAGGCAUUUUUGGAAGGAGAAGAAAAAAAACUGAGUGUGGCUGGAAUCAGUGGUGUGCCAGAGUCAGCUGGUACCGACUUGAAAGAGAUGCACAGAGCUAAUUCUGUGCAUCCCUUUCAAAUUCCAUGUUAGUGACAUCACAAUGGUAGUUUGAAAUUGGCCAUGGUGGGAGUAUUUACACCAGGGAAAUUGGCAAGUGCUACAAAUCAGGGCUUUUUGUUUUUUUCCAGGGAGCCAUUUACUAGCACACCAUUUGUUAGAGUGUGAACUGGUUAGAAUGUAGACGAGGGAUAGUUGGAGGCCACAGAAGACAAGCAGAGAGACCAAACUAUCUGUACAUUCAUCUAGAAAGGCUAGAUAAAAAUAUAUUAUAUAUAGAUAAGAUUGCAUUAGAUUUGUAAUGUUACCUUCAAGAAAGAAGGAAAUUUCAGGAUAUCAGAAAUGCAGAGGACACAAAGCCCUAACAGUAAUGGUACAUACUAAUAUUAUGGCGGCCAGGAUGAGGGGGAAGAGCAGUUGAUAGAUCCAGAAGUGUCCUUUAGGAUAGAGGUUUGUGUUUCAAUGCCCAGACAGAGACAGGAGACAAGGCUCUGGGCUCAUGGAAGGUGAAGAGUUGGAAUGAAGACCGUUGCAUUGACAAACCCCUCAAAGAACUGCAUGCACCUCAGUGAGAAGAGAAAAUAAAAGCUCCACCUGCUGGCCUGGAAGGUGACCCCUGAUCUCCAUUCCCCUGGACAUCUCAAGGGCACAAAUUCUCUGGACACACGGAGGGAAUAAUGCUGACAUUUUAUAGAAGCUGACCCACUGGAUAUCCUUCUCACCCAACUCCAUUAGGCUGGGGAGAGUAAGAGGCACGGUGACAAGGUGGCAAAGAUGUCACCAUGCCAUCCAAUCACGAGGUCUCCAGGAAACUGUAUAAGAAGGACACCUCCAGAAACUCCUGGCACUACUGAACAAAUGUAUAAUAUCCCUGGGUAAAACCAAGAGUCCUCUCGCCUUCUCGCCAUUUGGUAACUGUUGUGCGCCUGACACAGCUUUACCCUCUUUGAAUGGGGAGAGCAGUAGUUUCUGUUCCACAGGUUGCUAUAAGGAUGAACUGUGAUCUCAUCAUUCCUCAUAAUAAUGGCUUAUCAAGAUGAAGUAAUGAUUACCAUUGCCAUUUUACUGAUGAUGAAACAAAGGCUAAGAGACUUGAAGAAUUUGCCCACAAUCUUGUAGCAAUGAAGGUACAGAGUCAGCCAUCUGGAACUCAAGCUGGCUCGACCCUCUGCCCCUCCAAACUGGACAUACAAGGUCAGGUCACUGCAUUCAUUCCUUACCUUGUACAGUGCCCAGAUUAUUCAUCUGUGUUACAAGGCAGGUAGAGAAGAGAUUAUGGACUCGGUUUUGUAUGGGCAAACUGAGGCACACAGUCAGAAAGAAUACACCAGCUGUUCUUUAGCUGAGAGGCCUUAGUUUCUUCCACCAGGACCAUCUAUGAAUAUGACCACCAUGUCUCUUCCACUGUCCACCAGGAGAUACUCCCUAGCAUGUCCCAACAGUGAAGGCUCAACAGAUCCUAAUAGCCUAAGACAGAUAAGAAACCAGGCUGUCUAAUUUCCCCCGGGGAUUAGGGAGCUACCAGUCCAGUUCCUCACAGAAGCAUGAUGCUGUGGCAGGACUAUGGAGCGAGGAGUCAGGAGACCUGGGAUGUGGUCUGGGCUCAGUUACCAGUGACCAUGUGACCCCAACAAGUCACUUUCCUACCUCCUGCUAGAGACAAGCUGGAAGCCACACUCAUGACCCAUGAUCAAACUCCCUCAGCACUUUGCAAAUAGACUUUCUGACCUACAUACAUCUGCAGUCCCCGUCAGUGGAUUGUCUCCACAAUUUCUUACCAAAAGCGAAACCUCUCAGGCUAAUGAGGCCAGAAAUGAGGAGUGCAUGGGCCUGUCUUUUGCCAUAAAUAAGGUCUUGGGGGGAAAAUCCAGAACCUAUUCCAGAGAGGGGUGGAAAAACACCCCACCUCAUUUUAUAUCCCAUGUGGUCCCAAAACCUUACAGGUGCUUCCAACAAGAAGGCCAGCACUGCCUUCUUAUGAAAAUAAAAAAACCCCAGUUUGCAUCAAGGCACAUUUUGCAUGCUUGAAGAGUAUUUAUAGCCAGAUUCUUAGAGGCUCCUCAUCUCCUCUUCUGCUCCUUCACAAAUGAAGCACUUAAAUCAUUUUGCAAUAGUGAUGUCUUUUUAAUAAGCCUAGUCAAAUGGAGUUUUCACUGACGAGACACGACACGUUUUAGCAAUGUUUAUAUUACUGUUUCUCCCCCUCCAGAGACAAAGGGGUGGCAUGCAGAGGCCACGAACCGCAGCAGGGGUGUCAUCAUGAUGCAUGGUCCUGGAAGGGUGUCUGAUCCCUGUCUGUUAACAGAAAUUCCCUUCCAAGGAAGCAGAUGCACAUGGAAGAAGAUAUCUUCUAGCUGUUCUCUGGCCUAAUGUGUCUCAAAGUGUGGUCCCAGGACAGGCACCUUUAGCACUCUAGCAUGUUAGAAAUACAGCCUCCCCAAGGCCACGCCAAGCCUACUGAUUCAGAAUCUCUAAGGCUGGAGUCUAGCAAUCUGUAUUCGGAGAAGUCUUACAGGGCAUUCUGACACAUUUGCAAGUGUGAGAACCACUGCUCUAAAGCAACCUCACCCUCUGAAUCAGGAUUGCCUAGGGGCUGGAGGGCUCCCUACCCCCCAUACCAAGAACCUCCUCUUGGGUCAGACCCUCAGGAGGUGGACUGGGGAAGAUACAGAGCUAACUGUUCCCCAGGUGACUGGAAUGCUCUUUAAAGUGUAAUUACAGGUCUGGUGCAAUGGUUCACGCCAGCACUCUGGGAGGCCAAGGCAGGAG
rnacentral:lncRNA from 1 species